ensembl:snRNA U6 U6 spliceosomal RNA
GUGCUCACUUGAGCAGCACACAUGCUAAAAUUGGAGCCACUCAGAGAUUAGCACAGCCCCUGUACAAGGAUGACAUGCAAAUUUGUGAAGCAUUCCAGAUUUCU